GAAGUAAACGCACCAAAUACGUUCUGUACCAUUCUCUCAUUUGAAAAGAAUUACAAUUUACAUUUAUUUAUUUAUUUCUCAACAAAUUAUGACUUUUUUUCGACCCCCAUAAUAUAUAAGGCAAGGAUAGAGAUUCGCAGAGCACAAAAUUGACUCGACUCGUCAUCUAACGGUGAAUAGUAUAAAUUGUUUUUCCCUAUCCUCGCAAUGAGUAAGAUAAGGACGAAGCUACUGUGCGAUAAGGACGGAAGAAGAAAUCCAAAUGCCACCAACUUCUAGAAGCAUCUUAUCAGUCUCUGGUACUUACGCGCGAAACAUGACGAGCAAGAAGGUAUCCGAUCAGAACAGAGAUAUAAUUUUCCGGAAGAGAAAGAAAGACAUACAAUACUUGCUGCAUAGAUCUAUAUAAUCCACACAAAAUUCAUUAAUAACUCGACUCCUAUUAAUAAUUCAUUCACAUUUACAACUGGGCAAUGUAGAUUAGACCUUCAGAACAGUGGUGAAGGAGCAUAGCAACAAACUAUCCAAUACGAAUAAAAUAAAUGUUUAUUAAUAGUAGAAAUAUAAAAUUUACUUUUUACAAUUAGUUAAAAAUAGCCUAUUCCCUCCAUGAAACGUGCACAUCAUCUGUCCGAUAUCUCUGUACACAAGUUGUUUGCAUCCAGGGAGUAUGUCCAUUACUUUUAUACUGAUGUAAUCCUGCUACAGCAAUCAUUACACCGUUAUCUAUACAAAAUCGUUCAUCUGUAGCAUGAAGUACGGCAUUUCGUUCAUUACACAUAAUUUCCAUCAUAUCUUGCAAUCUUUGAUUACAUCCUACACCACCAACAAUCAGUACUUCAGAUGACUGUACAUGAGCCAUUGCUCUUUCUACAAUAUUAUUAAAUGAUAUGUAUAUUUUUGUUAGUUUACACAACGAAUUGUUAUUAAUGUAAAAAUACCUGUGAUUUCAAUAAGCAUAGCAAACACAGUUUCUUGCAAAGAGAAACACAAAUCCUCUCGAGAAAAUUCUUUUGAAUCUAGCCAAGAAGGGAGAUGUUCUUCUAUGUAACUUAAAAUGCCAGAAAAGGAUACA